AGUGAGCGGCAAAAGCUCAAUUUGAAUCUAGCACCUUCGGUGUUCGAGUUGUAAUUUGAAGAUGGUAACCUUGGGUUUGGCUCUUGUCUAUGUUCCUUGGAACAGGACGUCAUAGAGGGUGAGAAUCCCGUCUGAUGAGAUGCCCAUUCCUAUGUAAGGUGCUAUCGAAGAGUCGAGUUGUUUGGGA
rnacentral:rRNA from 1 species